rnacentral:rRNA from 1 species
AUUGAACGCUGGCGGCAUGCUUUACACAUGCAAGUCGGACGAGUGGCGGACGGGUGAGUAAUAUAUUGGAACGUACCCAAUAGUGGGGGAUAACCAAUGGAAAGGGUGGCUAAUACCGCAUAUUAUUCGAGGGGCCCAUAUGGGAUUAGCUAGUAGGUGGGGUAAAGGCCUACCAAGGCGACGAUCCGUAGCGGGUCUGAGAGGAUGAUCCGCCAAACUGGUACUGAGACACGGCCCAGACUCCGACGGGAGGCAGCAGUGGGGAAUGUUGGACAAUGGGCGCAAGCCUGAUCCAGCCAUGCCGCGUGUCUGAAGAAGGCCUUCGGGUUGUAAAGGACUUUUGUUAGGGAGGCGGUACCCGAAGAAGAAGCACCGGCUAACUACGUGCCAGCAGCCGCGGUAAUUC